GAUUUCAACUGAAAAAGUCAUCUACAACAAAGUUGCAUAACUCAUCAAGAUCAAUAACUUUUAUUUUUGUCAUUUCUUCAUCCGACAAAGUGAUAGUAAUAUUGUUCACAAAUUUUACAUAUCUCUCAUUUGGUUUUAUAAACUAUAAGAGAGAGAUGUAUAUUUUGUGAACAAUGUUACUAUCACUUUAUCAGAUAAAGAAAUGACCAAAAUAAAAGUUGUAUGUCUCGAUGAGUUCUACAACUUUUAUAUUCAUGACCUUUUUAGCUAAAAUU
rnacentral:pre_miRNA from 1 species